rnacentral:rRNA from 1 species
GGGCUACACACGUGCUACAAUGGCAUAUACAAAGAGAAGCGACCUCGCGAGAGCAAGCGGACCUCAUAAAGUAUGUCGUAGUCCGGAUUGGAGUCUGCAACUCGACUCCAUGAAGUCGGAAUCGCUAGUAAUCGUAGAUCAGAAUGCUACGGUGAAUACGUUCCCGGGCCUUGUACACACCGCCCGUCACACCAUGGGAGUGGGUUGCAAAAGAAGUAGGUAGCUUAACCUUCGGGAGGGCGCUUACCACUUUGUGAUUCAUGACUGGGGUGAAGUCGUAACAAGGUAACCGUAGGGGAACCUGCGGUUGGAUCACCUCCUUACCUUAAAGAA